CUGGUGCCGUUUAUCUCCAUCAGCUUCUCACGCGCAGGCUUCUUCCCCAGCCGCCCCUCCUCUCUCUAUCUUCAGCGCGCCUCUCUCUCCCUCCAUCUCUCCUCCCACGGCGCCCGGCCCCUGCUCAGCUCUCACGGCGCUCCUCCCUGCUCUCAUCUCCUGCAGCACCCAGGCAUCUCUGUCCAUCGCUCGGAGCUAUGCUGCAGCACGUCGAAGCAGCGCCCAGCGCCGUCUUGGACCUGCCAUGUCGCGUCGCUCCCAACUCCCUACCUGGCCGCGCCCUCCCAGCCAUGAAGCUCGCCCGUUAAUCGCAACCUCACCUUGGCUUCCUGUUGCAGCUCGCCAGCACCUCAGCCGUCGUAGGUUCUCUCCCAUGGCGCCUAGUCUUCUCCCCAUGGCGAACUCACCCAGCCACUCGCCUCCACUACAGCACGCCGUGCCUGCGCAGCCCCGACAGCAACGCCC
rnacentral:misc_RNA from 1 species